GACUACUGGGGUAUCUAAUCCUGUUUGCUCCCCACGCUUUCGCACCUCAGUGUCAGUAUCAGUCCAGGUGGUCGCCUUCGCCACUGGUGUUCCUUCCUAUAUCUACGCAUUUCACCGCUACACAGGAAAUUCCACCACCCUCUACCGUACUCUAGUCAGUCAGUUUUGAAUGCAGUUCCCAGGUUGAGCCCGGGGAUUUCACAUCCAACUUAACUAACCACCUACGCGCGCUUUACGCCCAGUAAUUCCGAUUAACGCUUGCACCCUCUGUAUUACCGCGGCUGCUGGCACAGAGUUAGCCGGUGCUUAUUCUGUCGGUAACGUCAAAACAAUCACGUAUUAGGUAACUGCUCUUCCUCCCAACUUAAAGUGCUUUACAAUCCGAAGACCUUCUUCACACACGCGGCAUGGCUGGAUCAGGCUUUCGCCCAUUGUCCAAUAUUCCCCACUGCAGCCCCCCGUAGG
rnacentral:rRNA from 1 species